CACGAUGCGACGCAAGAAUGUGAAAGGCUCCCGCCCGCCGCCAUUUUCUUUCUUUCUUGGCAGGCUAGGAGGACGGUAGGAAGUAGCGAAGGAGACAUGUCGGAUUAUUCUACGGUGCCCCCUCCUUCUUCGGGAGCACCCGGUGGAGGCGGAGGAGGUGGCGGGGCAGUCAAUGAUGCUUUUAAAGACGCGCUGCAACGGGCUAGGCAGAUUGCAGCAAAAAUUGGAAAUGAAUCAGGGACAUCUGUGAAUUCAAAUGAUUACAGUUAUGGGGGACAAAAAAGACCUCUUGAAGAUGGAGAUGGCUCUUGGACAAGUCCGAGCAGUACAACACACUGGGAGGGAAUGCCCUCUCCUUUUAAAGAUCAACCAGAGCCUAAGAAAGUUGCUCCCCCAAAUAAUGAUUCUUUUGGAAAUCAGUUACCACCCAUGCAUCAGCAACAGAGGUCUGUAAUGACAGAAGAAUACAAAGUUCCAGAUGGAAUGGUUGGAUUCAUAAUUGGCAGAGGAGGAGAACAGAUAUCUCGCAUACAGCAAGAAUCUGGAUGUAAAAUACAGAUUGCACCUGAUAGUGGUGGGCUUCCUGAAAGAUCUUGCAUGUUGACUGGAACGCCUGAGUCAGUACAAUCUGCAAAGAGAUUGCUUGACCAGAUUGUUGAAAAGGGAAGACCUACACCGGGAUUCCAUCAUGGUGAUGGCCCAGGAAAUGCCGUUCAGGAAAUCAUGAUUCCAGCUAGCAAAGCAGGAUUAGUUAUUGGAAAGGGUGGAGAGACAAUAAAACAACUUCAAGAGCGUGCAGGUGUUAAGAUGGUAAUGAUUCAAGAUGGACCACAGAACACUGGAGCAGAUAAACCUCUUAGGAUCACAGGAGAUCCUUACAAAGUCCAACAAGCCAAGGAAAUGGUUUUAGACUUAAUUCGUGAUCAAGGUGGCUUUAGAGAGGUGCGCAAUGAAUAUGGGUCAAGAAUAGGAGGCAAUGAAGGAUUAGAUGUGCCAAUACCACGGUUUGCAGUUGGUAUUGUAAUUGGAAGAAAUGGUGAAAUGAUAAAAAAGAUACAAAAUGAUGCUGGUGUAAGGAUUCAGUUUAAACCAGAUGAUGGAACAACUCCUGACAGAAUAGCCCAGAUCACGGGACCUCCAGAUAGAUGUCAACAUGCAGCUGAAAUUAUUACAGAUCUUCUUCGAAGUGUUCAGGCUGGCAAUCCUGGAGGUCCAGGGCCUGGCGGCCGUGGUAGAGGAAGAGGUCAGGGCAAUUGGAAUAUGGGACCACCUGGUGGACUGCAAGAAUUUAAUUUUAUUGUUCCCACUGGAAAAACUGGAUUAAUUAUUGGGAAAGGUGGUGAAACUAUCAAGAGCAUUAGUCAGCAGUCUGGUGCAAGAAUAGAACUUCAGAGAAAUCCUCCACCAAAUGCAGAUCCCAACAUGAAAUUAUUUACUAUUCGGGGGACACCACAACAGAUUGAUUAUGCUCGGCAGCUUAUAGAAGAAAAGAUUGGAGGUCCAGUAAAUCCUUUGGGGCCACCUGUGCCUCAUGGACCUCAUGGUGUUGUUCCUGGGCCACAUGGACCACCUGGGCCACCUCCUGGUGCUCCAAUGGGACCUUACAAUCCAGCUCCUUAUACCCCCGGCCCUCCUGGUCCUGCACCUCAUGGACCUCCAGCACCAUAUGCUCCACAAGGAUGGGGUAAUGCAUAUCCACACUGGCAACCACCAAAUCCCCCAGACCCUGGUAAGCCAGCAGAUCCUAAUUCAGCAGCAUGGGCAGCCUAUUACGCCCACUACUAUCAACAGCAAGCACAGCCACCCCCUGCAGCUCCACCUAGUGCGCCACCUGCAACUCAGACCAACGGACAAGGAGAUCAACCAAAUCCAGCACCAGCAGGGCAGGUAGAUUACACCAAGGCUUGGGAAGAGUACUAUAAAAAAAUGGGUCAACAAGGGCAGCCACAAGAUUAUUCAAAGGCUUGGGAGGAAUAUUACAAGAAGCAAGGUCAGGCUGUUCCAGCUCCAGCAGGAGCCCCACCGACAGGUCAGCCAGAUUACAGUGCAGCAUGGGCUGAAUACUAUAGACAGCAGGCAGCUUAUUAUGCCCAGACAAGUCCACAAGGAAUGCCACAACAUCCUCCAGCACCACAGGGCCAAUAAUAAGAAGUGGACAAUACAGUAUUUGCUUCAUUAUGUGGGGGAAAAAACCUUUGUUAAAUGUAUGGAUGCAGACGCCUUGAUGAAGAUCAUAAUUUUGUUUGGUUUAAAAAUAGUGUUUUUUGAAAUGUACAAAAUAUCUAUCACAACUGAUAGGAGGUAAUAUUUCUGUGUAGAAAUGGAAAUUGGUUUGUUUUUAGUACAUUAGUGUAGAUGUACACAUUCCAGCAAAUGUAUUUGCAACUAUUAUGUGGUCAAUGCUUUGUGAUAUAAAUGUACUUUUUCAAUGUAUACUUGAUCACUUUUAAAUGCUUGUUUUGUGCUUUGCAAUAAAUAAUAUGAAACCUCCUGUGUCGGUAAGUUGGAUAUGUGGGUACUCAGAGAAUUCAAGGAUUUUUUUUAGUAAUUCUGUACAUGUACACAAGUAAGACUUUUCCCCCCUCUUUUAAGUUCAGGCUUGAUGUUGGUAUUCUCCCCUUCCAGAAUAGGUAUAGAAGGAUCUCUUGUGAUUGUAUGUUGCUAUUUAGCAUUCUGAUAUCCUCCUCUUUCUACUUGUAUAAAAAUUGCAUGUAUGUGAAGGUAUUUCUUGACAUACUUCUGCAUUAACAGUUGAAAUUUCUUUUUUAUUCAUGACCACUGUCCCAGACCCGUAUAGCUGCUAUAGUUAACAUUUGUUUUAACAAUGAUUUAAUUCUUUAGUAUAUUUUUCAGAAACAUUAUUAAAGUCAGUUAUUUAGAAAAGCAAAAUGUGCUAAGCAGUUGGUUUGCAGCACUUUGCUACAGAAUUCAGUGUAGUAAGGAUGAUUAUGCUUUUUAGUUAUAAAACUGCAUUUGUUGUAGAAACAUGCUGUUUGAGUCUUGGAAUGCUUAAUGAAAAAAAGGUUUUUGCAGAUAAGGUCUGUUUUUAAAUGUUGAAGACUAGUUUUUAAGUUAUGUUUGAAAAGUCUCCGUCAUACAUUUUACUUUUAAUAAUUCUAAUUGAAAAUUGGUGUUCUGUUAAAAUCCACUGUUUGCUUUUUUGCAUAUAUUAGAUUACAUGCAAUACAGUCUGUCUUGCCAUUGUCUGUUGAAGUGCAGGUUUGAUCCAGCCAGUAUAGAACUAGCUCUGUAGGGGUGAGGAGGACUGUGCUGUGUAUCAUCCUUGAUUGUUCCUUCAAGGAGCAUUGCACUGUAAGUACAUCAGAAUGACAAAAUGAUGAACUGCAACAGUAUCUUUUUGUCAAUGUUCCACAUAAUGCAAAUGCCAUACCUGUGUGAAUAUUAUGUUGGAAUAAAAUACAGUGCUGAUAUUUUAGAAAAUCACAAUUGCUUCUUAAAUCAGAUACCUAGAUAUGCAUAAAUGUGUGUAUGUAUGGGUAAGUAUUUUGAGAUAUUUAGCUUUAGCUAAAGAAUUCAUCAAUGAACUAACAUUGUUCAUUAGGGUUUCAGAAAUGAGAUGUAUUCAGAUAUCAACUUAUACAUUGUUAACAUUUAAAAUGCUUGUCAGGAGGAAGUUGUUUUUGUCUUCAGUUGUCUGCAUAUAUUUAGUGAUACAGCUAUAUGCUAUUUUUCUAAAUCUUUUAUUAGCCUUAUCUUUAGAAAACCAUUUUGUUGUUUUGGAGUGUUCACUUAGAGUGGCUGCAACAGAAGAACCGAAUGUGGUCUGAAAUGAAGUAGUAUCGCAAAAAUAAUUAGAAAUGCAUUUGUUCUACUGUAGAAUCAGGAGGGAUUUUUUUUUAUCCCAGCUUAGUUUAGGAUUUACAUUUUGAAAAGACUACUAGAAGUUAAUAAAUAUAUAGAUAAGUAGGCUAUGAAGUCUCUAAAUCAAAUAUUUUGCAUGAUAAGUCUGUAGCUUAUUGGAAAAUGGUGUAGUUAUUAACUAAACAGAACAAACAUUCACCAGAUUCUUUAUCAUUCACCAAAUGGAGGCUGUUGAUUUUGAUUCAUUUAAAGUAUAAAAUCUUUAUUAAUUGCAAACAGUGCAAUUAUUUAUACUUCACAGUGCCUUCCCAGAUCUUCCACCUUAGGUUCUGCUGCAAAAAGCACAGUGCUGAAGAUGCUGCAAGCACCAAAUCAUAGCUCAUAAAAUCAGGUCCUGAGAUAGUUACUUCCAAUAAAGAGGAUUCCUUUGAGUGUAUGGCCAUGGUGAGCCGAUGAGCAUGGACCAUAGAAGGGCUCCAUGUGGAAGGUAAAAUUGGCAAAAACAAUACCGAUUUUAAAUGUAUCCCAUACUUAAUGGUGUAGGGUAUAAUUUGCCUGUUUUUAUCGCUUCUCAUUCUUUAAAGUGCUAUUUGCUUGACCAUAAAUGUUCCAUAAUUUGUUAUGUGGUAAUAAUAAAAAUUAUUUAUCAGUUUACACCUUGCUAAAUAGUCAAGCACGGAUAUGUUUUGCAUUUACAACUAAAUCAAUAGUUGUACUGGAAUUCCCUCGAGCCACUUCAUUUUAUUUUAGGGGGGGUUAUAUUUUGAUAUGUCAGAUUAAUUUUUAUAUGAAAACUAGCUAUGUGCUUAAGAGCUUCAUCUUGGUUGGAUUUUGUUUCACCAUUAUAAAAGAAAACUUGUUUUUUUCCUACUCCAUUUUUAAUAAAUUUAGCAUAAAUUGAAAUUUAACUCAAAGUCAAGAGAUGUAACAGGGAAAAAAGUUGUUGGCGUAGGAGGUGAAGAUCUGUGUUAAUAAUUUGUUUUGGUGGACCUAUAGGCAUCUUCUUGUACUGUAGCUUUUUAUUUUUGGUUUGUCCAAUUUCUUUCAAAGAUAGGGUUGGAUUGAAGUGUUCCAUUCUACUCACAAUAUGGAAACUUUGAGCCCAAUCCAUAGAUAGUAUUUUCUUGUGCAGUUUGUGUGUUAUAGCAGGAAAAAAAUAAUUGUAAAUUCUAAUUGAAUCCCAGGUUUAAAUGAAAGUAAUGAAUGUUUUAAAAGAGAGGAACAUCUUAAUUUCAACUAAUGUCUUUAGAUCAUCUUUUAGUAUGUGUUCUGUAUAGGAUAUUUGCUAGUUAAAAAGCAGUCUUUAUCUAGAGUUGUGUAAAUUACACUUCAGUGAUCUUACUAGCUAGGUAGGCUGUAUCAUUCACUAAUCCUUUCUUCUGAAAAUAUUGUCAGUUGGUGGGAUACAUUUCAUAAGUUUGAGGGUAGAAUUUUACAUUUUUCUUUGUGUACUAGGAUUUUUAUAAAGUAAAACAUUGGGUCCUACAGAAUAUGUACAACAGAUCCAUUUUUCUACUUGUAGUACCCUAUCAAACUCUUACAUUUAUGCAACCUUUAUCUUAAUAUGCAUGAAAGGCAUUUUCGUCCUGAGAUAGUGUUCUCUGCAGAAACUACCCGUGUUAAAAAAGAAGACUGUCUUUUAAAGGCUACUGUGAUGGGAAGUAUCUUAGGCAGAUGCAGCUUGGACGUGAGGUAAAUCCUACGCUUUCCAGUAUGUUGUGUUGAGCUUGCCUAUUGACAAUGUAUGUACUCAUGAAAAUACAUUAAUUGUACUGUUUUGUAUGAGUUCUCAAUAAAUGUAAACUAAUGGA